UGGCUCAGGACGAACGCUGGCGGCGCGCCUAACACAUGCAAGUCGAACGGACUUAGAGAGCUUGCUCUUAAGUUAGUGGCGGACGGGUGAGUAACACGUGAGCAACCUGCCUUUCAGAGGGGGACAACAGUUGGAAACGACUGCUAAUACCGCAUAAGACCACGGGAUGGCAUCAUUCUGCGGUCAAAGAUUUAUCGCUGAAAGAUGGGCUCGCGUCCGAUUAGAUAGUUGGUGAGGUAACGGCCCACCAAGUCGACGAUCGGUAGCCGGACUGAGAGGUUGAACGGCCACAUUGGGACUGAGACACGGCCCAGACUCCUACGGGAGGCAGCAGUGGGGGAUAUUGGACAAUGGGGGGCCAACCCUGAUCCAGCGACGCCGCGUGAGGGAAGAAGGUUUUCGGAUUGUAAACCUCUGUUGACAGGGAAGAAAAUGACGGUACCUGUUUAGAAAGCCACGGCUAACUACGUGCCAGCCGCCGC
rnacentral:rRNA from 1 species